rnacentral:rRNA from 1 species
GGGGGGGCAAGCGUUGUUCGGAAUUACUGGGCGUAAAGGGCGCGCAGGCGGGCGGGACAGUCUUUCGUGAAAGCCCACGGCUCAACCGUGGAAUUGCGGGAGAUACUUCUCGUCUUGAGUUCGGGAGAGGAGUGUGGAAUUCCCAGUGUAGCGGUGAAAUGCGUAGAUAUUGGGAGGAACACCGGUGGCGAAGGCGGCACUCUGGACCGAUACUGACGCUGAGGCGCGAAAGCUAGGGGAGCAAACGGGAUUAGAUACCCCGGUAGUCCUGGCUGUAAACGCUGAGCACUUGGUGUAGCGGGUAUCGACCCCUGCUGUGCCGAAGCUAACGCAUUAAGUGCUCCGCCUGGGGAGUACGGUCGCAAGGCUG